rnacentral:rRNA from 1 species
GAUGAACGCUGGCGGCGUGCUUAACACAUGCAAGUCGAACGGGAAAUAUUUCAUUGAGACUUCGGUGGAUUUGAUUUAUUUCUAGUGGCGGACGGGUGAGUAACGCGUGGGUAACCUGCCUUAUACAGGGGGAUAACAGUCAGAAAUGGCUGCUAAUACCGCAUAAGCGCACAGAGCUGCAUGGCUCAGUGUGAAAAACUCCGGUGGUAUAAGAUGGACCCGCGUUGGAUUAGCUAGUUGGUGGGGUAACGGCCCACCAAGGCGACGAUCCAUAGCCGGCCUGGGAGGGGGAACGGCCACAUUGGGACUGAGACACGGCCCAGACUCCUACGGGAGGCAGCAGUGGGGAAUAUUGCACAAUGGGGGAAACCCUGAUGCAGCGACGCCGCGUGAAGGAAGAAGUAUCUCGGUAUGUAAACUUCUAUCAGCAGGGAAGAUAGUGACGGUACCUGACUAAGAAGCCCCGGCUAACUACGUG